rnacentral:rRNA from 1 species
CCUACGGGUGGCAGCAGUGAGGAAUAUUGGUCAAUGGGCGUAAGCCUGAACCAGCCAAGUCGCGUGAGGGAUGAAGGUUCUAUGGAUCGUAACUCUCUUUUAUAAGGGAGUAAAGUGCGGGAUGUGUCCCGUUUUGUACAUACCUUAUGAAUAAGGAUCGGCUAACUCAGUGCCAGCAGCCGCGGUAAUACGGAGGAUCCGAGCGUUAUCCGGAUUUAUUGGGUUUAAAGGGUGCGUAGGCGGCCUUUUAAGUCAGCGGUGAAAGUCUGUGGCUCAACCAUAGAAUUGCCGUUGAAACUGGGGGUCUUGAGUAUGUGUGAGGCAGGCGGAAUGCGUGGUGUAGCGGUGAAAUGCGUAGAUAUCACGCAGAACCCCGAUGGCGAAGGCAGACUGCCAAGCCAUGACUGACGCUGAUGCACGAAAGCGUGGGGAGCAAACAGGAUUAGAUACCCGGGUAGUC